rnacentral:misc_RNA from 1 species
AUCUGUCAUGGCUUAAUUGUCAUGGUGGAUCGUGGGUUUCCUGUGUUGCCUACCUAAGUAAUGGUAUUGCCCCUGCUUGAUCCUAGUCCCUUUCAUUCCGUUGCCAUACCUUUGACACCGGAUGAACCAUGAAGUGGUUUCUUUGAUCCACCUUGUCAACGAAUGUGUUGAUUUUGUGGCUCAUUGAGCAUCGCUUGGUCUCCUGGAUACAGAACAUGAUUUGAGCAUAUGGGGUCUCAUGGGUUCCUUGUUCUGCUUUCUUUCAGGUUGUGUGCUUCUCUUAAAAUGACUGCCCCGCUCGCCUAGGCACGUACCUGCGAGGAGGCCAUGAUUUUGGGAAAUGCUUUUCCUGUUUGUUGCGGGCAUGGUGUCUCCGGUUAUCCUUGUUUUGCUCUCGCUCAGCGUUCGCGCUUCUCUUUAAAUGACUGUCUCGCUCGCCUAGGCUCGUACCUGCGUGCGAGGCCAUGUCAAAGAGGAUUGC